rnacentral:rRNA from 1 species
CUUACCCGGUUGGAACUUAAGCAUAUCAAUAAGCGGAGGAAAAGAAACCAACAGGGAUUGCCUUAGUAACUGCGAGUGAAGCGGCAGAAGCUCAAAUUUGAAAUCUGUGUCCUUCCGGGCACCGAGUUGUAAUUUUGAGAUACGUUUUCGACCGACAGGCCUGCCUUAAGUUCCUUGGAACAGGACGUCACAGAGGGUGAGAAUCCCGUGAACGGUAGGCCUCGAGGCGCAUGAUACGUAUUCGACGAGUCGAGUUGUUUGGGAAUGCAGCUCAAAAUGGGUGGUAAAUUUCAUCUAAAGCUAAAUAUUGGGGAGAGACCGAUAGCGCACAAGUAGAGUGAUCGAAAGAUGAAAAGCACUUUGAAAAGAGAGUUAAAAAGUACGUGAAAUUGUUGAAAGGGAAGCGCUUGAGACCAGACUCAAUAUCCGUUGAUCAACUUCAGUUCUCUGUUGUGCACUCGGCGGCUUUUGGGACAGCAUCGGUUCCCGCGGAGGGACAAAGCCUCAGGAAAUGUGGCACCCUUCGGGGUGUGUUAUAGUCCUCCGGGCAAUGCCUCCAGCGGGGACCGAGGACCGCGCUCCGGCUAGGAUGCUGUCAUAAUGGUCUCCAGCGACCCGUCUUGAAACACGGACCAAGGAGUCUAACAUCUAUGCGAGUGUUCGGGUGGAAAACCCUUGCGCGUAAUGAAAGGAACGGAGGGG